rnacentral:rRNA from 1 species
ACAGAGGGGGCAAGCGUUGUUCGGAAUUACUGGGCGUAAAGGGCGCGUAGGCGGCCUGCUAAGUCGAACGUGAAAUCCCUGGGCUCAACCCAGGAACUGCGUCCGAUACUGGUUGGCUUGAAUCCGGGAGAGGGACGUGGAAUUCCAGGUGUAGCGGUGAAAUUCGUAGAUAUUCGCAAGAACACCAGUGGCGAAGGCGGCUCACUGGCCCGGUACUGACGCUGAGGUGCGAAAGCGUGGGGAGCAAACAGGA